UAGGGAAUCUUCCACAAUGGGCGAAAGCCUGAUGGAGCAACGCCGCGUGAGUGAUGAAGGCCUUCGGGUUGUAAAACUCUGUCAUUCGGGACGAACCGGAGUCUGAGGAAAUGCAGACUCUCUGACGGUACCGGAGGAGGAAGCCCCGGCUAACUACGUGCCAGCAGCCGCGGUAAUACGUAGGGGGCAAGCGUUGUCCGGAUUCACUGGGCGUAAAGCGCGCGCAGGCGGUGAUGUAAGUCUGAGGUGAAAACCCGAAGCUCAACUUCGGGACUGCGUUGGAUACUGCGUCACUUGAGGAUAGGAGAGGCAAGGGGAAUUCCACGUGUAGCGGUGAAAUGCGUAGAGAUGUGGAGGAACACCUGUGGCGAAGGCGCCUUGCUGGCCUAUUUCUGACGCUGAGGCGCGAAAGCGUGGGGAGCAAACAGG
rnacentral:rRNA from 1 species